CCUACGGGGGGCAGCAGUGGGGGAUAUUGCACAAUGGGGGAAACCCUGAUGCAGCGACGCCGCGUGAGUGAAGAAGUAUUUCGGUAUGUAAAGCUCUAUCAGCAGGGAAGAAAAUGACAGUACCUGACCAAGAAGCCCCGGCUAACUACGUGCCAGCAGCCGCGGUAAUACGUAGGGGGCAAGCGUUAUCCGGAUUUACUGGGUGUAAAGGGAGCGUAGACGGUUAUGUAAGUCUGGAGUGAAAGCCCGGGGCCCAACCCCGGGACUGCUUUGGAAACUGUGUAACUGGAGUACAGGAGGGGCAG
rnacentral:rRNA from 1 species